AUUGAACGCUGGCGGCAGGCUUAACACAUGCAAGUCGAGCGGAGAUGAGGUGCUUGCACCUUAUCUUAGCGGCGGACGGGUGAGUAAUGCUUAGGAAUCUGCCUAUUAGUGGGGGACAACAUUCCGAAAGGAAUGCUAAUACCGCAUACGCCCUACGGGGGAAAGCAGGGGAUCUUCGGACCUUGCGCUAAUAGAUGAGCCUAAGUCGGAUUAGCUAGUUGGUGGGGUAAAGGCCUACCAAGGCGACGAUCUGUAGCAGGUCUGAGAGGAUGAUCCGCCACACUGGGACUGAGACACGGCCCAGACUCCUACGGGAGGUAGCAGUGGGGAAUAUUGGACAAUGGGCGGAAGCCUGAUCCAGCCAUGCCGCGUGUGUGAAGAAGGCCUUUUGGUUGUAAAGCACUUUAAGCGAGGAGGAGGCUACCUGGAUUAAUACUCUAGGAUAGUGGACGUUACUCGCAGAAUAAGCACCGGCUAACUCUGUGCCAGCCGCCGCCGUAAAAC
rnacentral:rRNA from 1 species